UAAUUUGAUUGAGGAAACAUGCAUAGGUGAAAAUUAGAAAUACAUUAAAAAUAUUGAAUUAAUUUUUCGACCUACAAGUUGAGGAAAAUUUAACUAGAUUUGAGGAUUAGCAAAGUGAAAACAAUUCAAUUACACAAGACAACUUUGAUAUUAAUUGCGAUAUUAUUGUUUUAUACUUUUAUGGGUAUCUUACUACCACUCAUGCACGAUGAUUUACAAUGGUUUAGCAAUUAUAAUACUGAUAUUUUAAAAGUAGGAU
rnacentral:sRNA from 1 species